GUGCUCACUUCUGCAGCACAUAUACUAAAAUUGGGAUGAUACAGAGAAGAUUAGCAUGGCCCCGGAAAAAGGAUGACAGGCAAAUUCAUGAAGCAUUCCAUAUUUUU